GGCUUGAUGGUCUAGUAGUAUGAUUCCUUCUUAGGGCGCGCCAGCAGUCAUCUGGAGGAGGUCCCGGGUUCAAUUCCCGGUCAAGCCC